GACAGAGGGUGCAAACGUUGUUCGGAAUUACUGGGCGUAAAGCGCGUGUAGGCGGCUAAGUAAGUCGGGCGUGAAAUCCCACGGCUCAACCGUGGAAGUGCACUCGAAACUGCGUAGCUAGAGUCCUGGAGAGGAAGGUGGAAUGCUUGGUGUAGAGGUGAAAUUCGUAGAUAUCAAGCGGAACACCGGUGGCGAAGGCGGCCUUCUGGACAGUGACUGACGCUGAGACGCGAAAGCGGUGGGGAGCAAACAGGG
rnacentral:rRNA from 1 species